UUUGCCUACGGGACGCAGCAGUGAGGAAUAUUGGUCAAUGGGCGAGAGCCUGAACCAGCCAAGUCGCGUGAAGGAUGACGGCCCUACGGGUUGUAAACUUCUUUUGUCAGGGAGCAAUUGAGUCCGCGUGUGGGCUUAGCGAGAGUACCUGAAGAAAAAGCAUCGGCUAACUCCGUGCCAGCAGCCGCGGUAAUACGUAGGUGGCGAGCGUUAUCCGGAAUGAUUGGGCGUAAAGGGUGCGUAGGCGGCCUGCUAAGUCUGGAGUGAAAGGUACCGGCUCAACCGGUACAGGCUCUGGAAACUGG
rnacentral:rRNA from 1 species